rnacentral:rRNA from 1 species
UACAGAGGGUGCAAGCGUUAAUCGGAAUUACUGGGCGUAAAGCGCGCGUAGGUGGUUCGUUAAGUUGGAUGUGAAAUCCCCGGGCUCAACCUGGGAACUGCAUCCAAAACUGGCGAGCUAGAGUAUGGUAGAGGGUGGUGGAAUUUCCUGUGUAGCGGUGAAAUGCGUAGAUAUAGGAAAGAACACCAGUGGCGAAGGCGACCACCUGGACUGAUACUGACACUGAGGUGCGAAAGCGUGGGGAGCAAACAGG